UGCUGCUGACUACAGUGACCUUUUCCCUUUGCUCUGGAAGGCCUUGAGCCUUCCGGAGGGGUCAUCCGUCGUUGCAGAAAUCGUUCCCUAAGGCCGUUCCCUCCGUGCUUCCUCCAAAAAAGGAGCCCGAACGCCCGCGGGGCCUGCCGGGUCCGCAAGUCCCGAGCGAGUUGCCUCAUCCCGGCCGCACCUCGCCUUGAGAACUAGCCUUGUGACGCGUCUUUGUGAGGUGGCCGCGUGUGGAGAGAAGGACUCAGGCGGAUGCAGCAACGGAGACGGCUUGGAUGGAAAACCCUUUUCAGCCAGGCUCCAAGGCGCUAAAUUGGAUUCCGGAUCGAAAGCCGAGCAAUCCCCGGAUGGGCUUUGUCGGUUAACCCAUCCCAUCGUGUCCCCAGCUCUCCGUAAAGAAAAACUUCAGUCUCCUGAGCCUUCCCUGAGUUGCAAAAAGUCUGACCCAAGAAUUAAUGAUUAGAGGAAUGAAAACAUGCAGAAACAAAGAACAGCAGUCGGGCAGGAGAACUGUUGUUUUUACAGAACCCAGAUUCCCCACCAGAUGGAAACUGCUGACCACAAGCACAUAGACCCCAGACCAGUUAGAGCCAGAAGAUUGAUGAUGUUGAUUCCUGAAACUUCACCUUGUUACCUCACCAUCAACCAGCCAGAGAACUGUGUGUAAGCUGAUCACGCACCCUGAGACCCUCUCCCUCACACUGCCUUUAAAUACACUGUCCUGAAAGCCAUCCAGGAUUUUGGGUCUU